rnacentral:tRNA from 1 species
CAGGUUACACCUAGGGUUAUCCAUUAUUUACAUUAAUGGUAUAUUUGUGCAAUUCGAUUUAAUCUGA